GAUUUUUUACUAACCCUAAAUAAGUAUUGUUGUUGCCUACAUUUAAAUAGUUCAGUUUCACAACAUUUAACUACAUGUUUAAAACUGCAACGAUUAAGUUAAA